rnacentral:tRNA from 1 species
UGGCUCAGUGGUGGAGUGCGUGCUUAGCAUGCACGAGGUCCUGGGUUCAGUCCCCAG